rnacentral:rRNA from 1 species
AAACAUCUAAGUACCCCGAGGAAAAGAAAUCAACCGAGAUUCCCUCAGUAGCGGCGAGCGAACGGGGAUUAGCCCUUAAGCAUCUUGGAAGUUAGUGGAACGGUCCUGGAAAGGCCGGCGAUACAGGGUGAUAGCCCCGUACACGAAAACAACCUUGAUGUGAAAUCGAGUAGGGCGGGACACGUGACAUCCUGUCUGAAUAUGGGGGGACCAUCCUCCAAGGCUAAAUACUCCUGACUGACCGAUAGUGAACCAGUACCGUGAGGGAAAGGCGAAAAGAACCCCUGUGAGGGGAGUGAAAUAGAACCUGAAACCGUGUACGUACAAGCAGUGGGAGCCCUUCGGGGUGACUGCGUACCUUUUGUAUAAUGGGUCAGCGACUUACAUUUUGUAGCGAGGUUAACCGUAUAGGGGAGCCGUAGGGAAACCGAGUCUUAACUGGGCGUCUAGUUGCAAGGUGUAGACCCGAAACCGGGUGAUCUAGCCAUGGGCAGGUUGAAGGUUGAGUAACAUCAACUGGAGGACCGAACCCACUAACGUUGCAAAGUUAGGGGAUGACCUGUGGCUGGGGGUGAAAGGCCAAUCAAACUCGGAGAUAGCUGGUUCUCCCCGAAAGCUAUUUAGGUAGCGCCUCGGACGAAUACUACUGGGGGUAGAGCACUGUUUGGGCUAGGGGGUCAUCCCGACUUACCAACCCCAUGCA